CAAAGUUCAAAUAUAAAAAUGGAGUAUUUAAUUCUCCAGCGUUGUUUCCCUUCUAUUUUGAGGUGAAAUAAUGAGAAAAUGUUUUCUAUGCACAACCUCCUAAAGUGUUCUUUUUUUCCCACAUUUGAAAUAAAAUCUGUGGCUGCCAACAGAAGAUCCUUAGGAACAUCUACCGAUAAGAAACCCUGCAUCCUUCACAGCUUGGACGAAAAGCUCCUGCUGCUUCCCAUACGCUCCCCUCUCCACUUCACCCCGACAUAUGCAUUACUGGUUAGAUCUACUCUCUUGUUGUGUCUCCUACUCGACUCUGACUUCAGAGACAGAAAUUCAGGGUUUUCGCCAAAUCAAGGAGACUCGAGCCAAGGAAUCUGGACGCGACUCUGGAUGCAGUGGGUGCAUUAGAGCUUGUGAGCCGGGACGAGGUGAGCCGUCACAGGAAGACGCAUCCCCCAGGACUAAGGAGAAGGAACCAGAAGAGCAGAGCUUGUGAGCCGGGACGAGGUGAGCCGUCACAGGAAGACGCAUCCCCCAGGACUAAGGAGAAGGAACCAGAAGAGCAGAGCUUGUGAGCCGGGACGAGGUGAGCCGUCACAGGAAGACGCAUCCCCCAGGACUAAGGAGAAGGAACCAGAAGAGCAGAGCAGAAAACGGGG